CCCCCCCCCCCCCCCCCCCCCCCCGCGGAGCGCCUUUGAUCAGAGAGACGCAGGGGGAGCGUGUGAGGGAGACUCGGGCCUCCUCGGGCCUCGACUUCUGCUAAGUGAGUCUUUGCUGAGACAGCUGACCUGCACAGAGCCUGUGGACGAUAAUGGACGCAUCCACGAGGGAGCGGCGAGCGGAAAGAGGCAAAGAAGGAAGGAGAAAAAACGUUUGUGCACGUGCGCCUUUCUGCAGGAGGAAGAAGGGGAAUAAAGAGAAGCAAAGACAGAUCCCACCUCACACGAAUAGGAUGCCCUCCAAUUAGAUGAGCAAACAAUGUGUGUGGUGUCCCUUCCAUCCCUCCGUCUCCUCCGUCUCCUCCGUCUCCUCCUCACAUCACGUCUACACGCAUGCAGCGGCGGGGCGAGAGACGUCGGGAGCGCGCUUACCCAGUUUCCCUGCCAGCUCGGGGGCGCGUUCGGCGUCGACGGCGGCCGCUCCGGCUCCGCCUCUCAAACCGGAGUCAUCUGGGGACGGAGAGAGAAGAAGCGCCAUUAGUGAAACGACUGACGGCGAGUAGCUCGACGCAGCAGACUCCAACCAUGACGGACGGGUGACGGACGUUGGACGACUCGUUGCGGACUUUUAUGCCACCGAAGAAGCAGAAUCAGAGAUCGGUGUCCCCCGAAACAAACGAGGUAUUCACCACGUCUCAGGACGCGAUGAGCGGAUUCUUCGCCCAGAAGCCUCCCUGCUGUAUGCGCCCGCAUCAUAUUCCACGGCGUCAGAUUCCCUCUCAGGCCGGCGUGUCGGUUCCCCUCCCUCAGCAUGUUCUUCUCAAAUGGAUUAUGAAAAAGACACAAACAUCUGUCUGAGCCUUCACGCUACGGAGCGCUUCAAGAUGGAAGCGGCGUAUGCGAGGGGCCCUUUGAAGGGGAGGCGGCUCGAUACAGAGCAAUAAGAGGUCUGUCAAAAUAACUUGGCUUGAAGCUGAACCUUCAACCAGAACCUGAUGGGAGUCAUGGAAAGAAAGACGAAGAGGGAACCAAGCAGCCUGGGACCCCCUGUAGCAACACGGAGGGUUUGUGUAUAUAUAUAUUUAUAUAAAUGAACACUUUGAUCUGGCAUGUUGGCGCCGUUGGGACGACCCGACCUCUCCGAUGCCAAACGUCUUCAGAGCCUCGCGGCCGAUUGGGAGCCAAAGACGGCCUUCUGAGCGCAAACGCGAGGCCGAGCUCGCGUCCUCUAUCUAUAGCACGCAGGCCGUGUGUGUGUGCGCACGAGAGAGCGCCGCCCGGAUUCCUGCGUCGGCGCACGUGCGUGCGUGUGCACGGGGCAUUUAACUAAGUGGGUAACUCGAGGUGCAGGUAUUCCCGUUUCACCUCGCUCCCCCUCGCGCCACAUGCACGCCGCGUCCUGAGGAAAGGCAGCGCGUUUGAAGCCGGGCGGCAUUGGGGGUCCGAGCUAAGGGGGUCCAGUGCAGCCAAGGCAUCAAAGCAUUAACAGAAAUGUAAAACAUGCGCAGCAGCUGAGUAUUGUGCUGCAGAGAGCUGCAGUUUGUCUUCUGCAGUGAAGCGGUAACAACAUCUCUGAGAGACUGUCAGCGCGCGAGACACCCGGCGAGUCAGUGCAGCGCCUCUUCUUUCUGCUCCAGUGCCAGGUUGUGUGUGUGUGUGUGUGUGUGUGUGUGUGCGUGGUGGGUUUUUGUUUCACUGAUCGGUCCAAGCUGAACACACUCGGCGUAGAAAACAUAUUCCCUCCCCACUUCAGGUGUUUUUAAUAAACAAAAUGUUUUCUACUGAUCUCGUUCCACCUUCUAAUGUCCGGCCAGAUACUUUGAUUACUGCAGCCAAUACACACACACACACACACACACACGCACAAGUAAACAUACACAAAAGUAAAAGCAAGCGUUUUUCCAAUAUCAAUAUAUAUAUAUAUAUAUAUGUAUAUAUAUGUAGAUACACAUCCAGUUCUUUGCAGCUUUCCAAUAAGGAUUCCGAUCAGGGCCAAAAAAACUCUUACUAGGAGCUUUUGAACAGUACAAAGACUUUUCAGUUUAAAAUCACUGACUCUCCUCACACUUCUGCUCUUCUCAAUGUUCUCUCUCUUUAUCUGGGGGGGUGAAACCCACAGCGCGCUACAUCUCACACCUUCAGUGGGGGGAACUCCUGUGUGGCUGAGUGUGUUUGAAUAACCCCUUCUAGUAUUUACAUUGAGCUCUGUAGAGAAAAGGCAGCCAGACAGAAAUAUGAGUCCCAACACCCCAGUGUGUGUGUGUGUGUGUGUGUGUGUGUGUGUGUGUGUGGAGGGACGGGGGGGGGGUCAGUGUUUUCCUAAAGGGUCGUGUCCUUCCAGGUUUUAAUAUAGAGACACUGGAUAUGUGGACAGAGCCUGUGUGUUCAUGCUUGUUGCAUCAGGGCCAAAACCAAGUAGACCGCGUUAGUCCUCUGGACCGACCACGCUGAAGGUCUCAGGCUUCACCAAGUAGACCGCGUUAGUCCUCUGGACCGACCACGCUGAAGGUCUCAGGCUUCACCCGGUAGACCGCGUUAGUCCUCUGGACGUUCCACCAUCAUAAUAUUGACGCAGGUGAACCGUGACUCGGGGAGAGGAGGCAUUGUUCAGUUCUUCAGAUGAGCUGCAUCGGGGUGUCAGAUGGAUCAACUUGGACCCCCUUCUUCGACCUCCUCUGCUGAGGAGUGAUAACCCCCCCUUGCUAAAUCCCUCCCUGUCAUUAUAACUCCAUCAGGAUACUCUGGAAACCACAGGACCACGUGGAUCUUCUGUCGGGAGCCUUUAGUUCCCUGGAGGUGGAGCGGUCUCGUAUGUGGGUGAGACCACUCACUUUAGGAACAUUCAUUUCAGCUCAGUUCACGUCACACGUAAGACAUGGUGUGACUUACAUACGGGUGCAUCAUGUGAAACCUGCAGAUGUUGUGUGUGAGUUGUGUUUGGUGUGUAAUUGAAUGAAACCACCCGACACAAAGUACAAGAACAAUACAAUACAAUAAGAACAAUAUUGUCUCAAAAACACAAAGAAAAGGAAACUGCUCCUUUAUCUAUUUCUAUUUCCUUGUGUGUAUUUUACAGAUCAACGGAUUAAUCAAUCAUUAAAAAAAGAUACUUUCAUUAACAAUAUUAUUUACUUUUGACAAUAUUGGUUCAUUUGGAUCUCGGCGUUGUCAAAAUAGUGACUGAUAAUUAAAAUAUGAAUUAGUUGAAAGUGUAACUGUGUUGAGAUUUUAGUGUGUGCUGUUUUUUCUGCGCGUAAGCUCGUCAUGUUGUCAAGAGAAGACGAUGCGCGUUAAUACACACAACCGUCCACGUGCACUGCCGCCCCGCCGCCGCACACGCGUGUGUGUGUGUCACUGCGGUUGAGUCUCCGGCCCGGCGGCCCGAUGGAAAGCUUUAGAACUCUGCAGUGACAGCGUGGGGGAGACACGCGCAGAGCGGCCCGCCACGGAGAAACAGCGCCGACCAGACGGGAAGUGACUUUAAAGAGGAGGUCAAAGACGAAGAGACGGAGAAAGCUGCAGAAAGAUUUACUGACUGUAACCGCAGAACAGACAACCGAACACUGAAGUCAGCAGCUCCUCCUGACGGAUUAACGGCGUGCGCUCGGAACCAGAGGAAGAUACAGCUGCAUUUCUGAGCUCUGUGCGACGUAUUGAACUCACACGCUUUCUACAUAUCCGAGCUGAGAGCGCUAACAGCGCUGAGCUCAGGGCGACCUGCAGUGGUCUGAAACACUCCUUUUAAAAGUGGAAUAAAACCUGCAAUGUUUUAGUCACAAUCUCAUUCGUUUGCGACACGAGAGAGACACUGCGAAGCUUCGUCCGGAGGCCUGACAGCUGAAGCAGGAUCGCAGAAGAAGCACCAAGAGCUCCUGGCACGAUGCAGCUUAGCCGUAAUGCUAAAAACGACCACUUUGGAUGGCGACCAGAGUGACGGGAGGUUCGUAGGUACGGACGGACCAGACAGACACAACGUCUCCAUCUUGGGCUCCUCACGCGUCUUCAACUCACAGGAUGUGAUCGCUGCUUUCCGACCCCCCUUCGGGUUCCAGGUGAAGGACUAAAGCCACGUGGAAUAUAAGAAGAGAUGAGACGCUCCAAAGAAUGCAGUGAGCUCGUCUGUGGACAUCAAGGUCUCGGCCCAAUUUACUCUGGUAGUAAAAUAAACGACAUGACUGCGUCUCUCUUCCAACCACAUGGUUAAACGGUGACUAAUUUCCUAAAGGAACGGCCCGCGCUUCGUGCUUAAAUGCUUCCAUUGUUCCACGGCGGCGUGCGGGGAAACGUGUCCGCUCAUCAGUAAGACGAGCUCGCUGCUGCUUUCGUAACCUCGCCGCGGUUCUGCUCACCGCUGCAGCGAAAAAAAAACCCACCCAGGAUAUCCUCACGCUGAACACCUCCGUCUCAUCCGACCCACAAUCCUUUGCUCUGCGCCUUCUGUGUUCCCUCGCUGCAGAAGUCAACAGUGAAGUCAGACAGCGCUCGGUCUGCGUUGCAGACUAAACAAAAACAUUUGUGUGCCGGCGAGGACGGAGUGAAGGUGCAGGAAAAUGUGUGUGUUUGACUCUGAGCAGAGCCCCGCGCUUCAGUUUGAUCUCGUGCCCAACGGCCUAAUUACAGCCACCGGUGUGUGUGCGUUAGUGUGUGUGUGUGUGCGUGUGUGUGUGUGUGUGUGCGUGUGUGUGUGUGGCUGCAGGAGGGAGGAUGGUGACUGUAUGAGAAACGAUUCCCCCCCCCCAGCAUGCCUGAGCCGUCCCGACUCGUUACGUCUUCCACGUGUCCAUCGUUUUCACCUUUGCUGUAUGAAUCGCUUUGUUCCACAAAAUGAUGACAUUGUGAAACACGCGUUUUAUGGCACGAGCAGUAAAUAUGAAGACGAUCUCAGCCACAAACAUCUGGAGCUCUUGUGUUCCCCUCCUCAGCGAUGUAAAUGGAGGGCGCCGCUGGCUCGGGAUGAAGGUCAGGAAGUAAGUAAGUCUUCUAAGUGAGAACAGAAAACGUUCCCUCGAUGAGCCAACGCUUCCAGGUAACGGUCUGAAGCCUCUGUGGAUCCUCUUCGCCCGGCUCAGCGUCCUUUUCCACGUCUCUGCAGAGCGGAGCAACCUCUAAAAACAGUGGUGCACUGGUAGAGCGGAGGAUCCCUCCCCAUCUACAAAAGGACGGUGGCGCACGGAGUAGAGAGGCCGCGCCGGGAACCGGUUGGCGGUUUGAAUCCCGGCUGCUUCGUGUCCCACGGCGAAGCAAGACUGGCUUCUCCUACCGCAGUUUGCUCGAGAAAAGCAGCAGCGAGGAGACACACGAGGCCGCCGAACGCGUCAGAGCGUCACAUAUCAACACAGCGAUGAAAUAACACACAAGUGGUUCCACACACUCGUAAACGCCACACGCUGGUGGGUUUAUGAGUCCUCAAAACAUACAGUUAGGGAUCAAGUUUUCUGUGUGUGUGUCUGUGUGUAUAAAGUGUUGCACAACAAAAGCUCCUGGAUGAAUUUGUUUGAUUUUUCAAGGCAAAGAAUAAAAGACUUAUUUCCUCCUCCCUUUCCAUGUGCACGCGUGUGUGUUCCUGCAUUAGUCCAUGUGUGUGCAGUGCGUGUCGCCAGGACAGAGGACAUCCAGUCAAGGGCAGAAAUGAUUCAGUGGGAUUAUUAGAGGACUCACAGGGGGAAUGUCACUGUGUGUGUGUGUGUGUGUGUGUGUGACAACAUACAGCACACGUAGGGAAACUCACAAAUCACAGACCCGUAUUGAAUAAUCGUGGUGCUACAUGAAGAUGGCGGGGGUUCACCACAACAAAAGAUCAACGUUUGAUGGAAAAAAUAAAACAAUAAACCUGUUUACGCCCAAAACAAACGUGUUUUUGUCAGCUUCACAUUGUUUCUGACUCACAGAACGAAGACGAAUUAAGACAAAGUCAAUGUCUGUUUCUUCCAACAUAUGGGAUUGAACUCUCAACUCAACCUGAUCCUUGAUGGUGUGGACACGUGGAACCUGAGCAGAGCUCAGCGUUGUGUCGACGGCAUUCCGAGGCUCCUCUGGGGUGUAAAACGCGCCGUUUGUCCCGGCCGACUGACUUUUGUCCCGAGGUGAGCGCUCAGAUAUAUUUAGCAAUCUGCUCCGACCCCAAACCGCCCCCCUUGCUUAUGAAUUGAUCAUCACAUCCCAAAAAUAGACGAUGUCGCCGUCGGCAAAGCGCGGCCUCCUCCCCCCGCGACAGGAAGCAGAGGCGUCUUCAGUCAGGACGGUUACUCAACAUCCCAAUGGGCCCAUAUUCUACCUGCCUGUGAGGUUUGUGCAUCAAGUAUGUUUUCUCGCGGGUUCACGUUGCAUCUUUCCUGAGCAGGCGCUCGUGUAACCUGGUUUCUGUGUUACUGACGACGGAGCCAACAAGGAUAAUUCACAUGAAAGGUGGUUUUAAUGCCUUCAAAUGUCUCCACAUUUUUCACUUGUGCAUGGACGCCUUUAGCAUGGCGUGUGUGUGUGUGUGUGUGUGUGCAUGUGCGUGCGCUCUCCCAGCUGCUGCCUGUGUAACUCUAGUAAACAUCAAGGCGGCGUUUUUACUCUGCUGAAUUAACGAAUCUCUCACAUCCUUCGCCACGCGCCGCCUUUGAAAGGCACACCGCCGGCCUCCGCUCGCCACUUUGAACCCUAAAUCAUUCCCGCCCGCGCUGCUCCUCCCUGUAUCAAAUUAUGCUGCACCUAAAUAUCUACUCAUUCGUGCUUUUUCUCCCCGUCUGACCUCGCUCUCGUCUCGCGUCCAUGAGUUCAUGGUCCCCGCUCGGCUUGGAGGUGCGAUGCCGGCGGCUGAGGGGGAGAAAAACGCUCCAGCUUCAUUAUUUCAUGUCGCCCAGCGGCCGAUUCCUCUCUCGUCCGGCUGCUCAACCACGACCUCCUAUAAACUAUAACACAAGUACUCACUUCUACUUCUACCAAGUGAAGCAAACGUCACGAGCUAAUGUCCAGGUUCUAGAUGAUCUGUUUCUAUAGCUAACGUCCUCUGCUGCGUCCGUCUCCCUGCACGGGUCCUCAUGCGUGCUCUCGGUGCCGCGUGUGCGCGUUUCACCUGCGGCCGUCUGCUUUCGACUUCAAAGGCCUCAUGCUGACGUCUUUGAAGGAGCGUUUACGACGACGUAAAAAUCAAGCCGCUCAUCGCCGAGCGCCGCCGGCCGGCGUCUCCGCGCGACCCGGGACCCCGGACGCCGCGGCUUUGUUCGGCCCUCAUUUGCGUCGCUCGCAGCGGGUUUGCGGCUUAAUAAUAACCCCGAAUAUCCGCCUGCACCCAGCGGGGCGCUCUGCCGCUGCUCGCUCGCCCCGCGAGGGUUCCUCGCUAAGCCAGAGAGCCGACAUCAGGACCACGAGAAGAACAAUGUCUCUCAUGUGCCACACGCAUGGACGCUGGAAACCAGUGACGGGGGAGCAGAAGGUCCCACAGCGUCUACACGUCCUCCUUCUGCUCACUUCUUGCGAGGGUUCGGCCUUCAGGGGAAACCAAAAGGCACUGCAGGGCAAUCGGCACGCAGAGGAACGCCGCAGCCUUUGUGAAUCGCCCGACGCCGCUUAGUUUAAAGGACUUUCAAAAGGCGGAAAAUGAGCCACAGUAGAACGAAACAAAUAGCACGACAAAACAGAUCCUCAGACCUAAAAAUGAAGCAGAAAAGCAGGUACACAAAUGCAGAGUGCAGUCAGAGGAGAGGAAUGCAGUGGAGAGAUUGUGGUCAUGGCCAAAGAGCGUGUGCGUUUGUGUGCGUUUGUGUGUGUGUGUCAGUUUUCAGCACGCUGUCACACUGAUCAAACUCCAGGCUGAUAGGAGAGGCGCCGUAGAACCAUCGGCCUGUUUGCAUAAGAUCACACACACACACACACACACACACUUCUUAUCCACAGGACGCAGCCAAAACACAUUGUGUGUACUUUUCUGUGAAAUAAGAUGCGGGGGGAAUGCAGCGAUAUUACACAAGUGAGCACAUGCCGACACGCACACGUGAGCUGAGCUCCCUGUUGGGCCUCACGUCGUCUCUACGUUGACGUCGUCCGUUUCAAAUGACAUAUAAUUUCAUUUUCCGUAAUCAGGAGGCCUUUGUCUGCCUUUCUCACCCACGUAACAUGGUUGAAAAUAGCAGCGAUGAAAAGGCCUCUGUACGGAACCCCCUGGGGGGCGAGUCUGCCCGCCUCCUGUGACGAGACAACAAGGCUCCAUGUAACCCUGAUAAGACCAACGUUGAUAAACGUGCAGCCAGUUUUUCCUUCCCCCUGAAUGCGAGCGGUCGCUUUUCUUUCCUCCUGCAUCCCGCUUGGUGUCAGCGAGGUGGGAUCUGAAAAGCCAGAUGUGACUGCUGGACUCUGAAGGGCGACAAAAGGAGAGUGAAGUGGGGGUUUUGGGGGU
ensembl:lncRNA